rnacentral:rRNA from 1 species
GUCCACGCCGUAAACGAUGUGCACUAGAUCCUGGGGGCUCUGACGUCUUCAGGGUCGAAGCAAAAGUGGUUAGUGCACCGCCUGGGGAGUACGGUCGCAAGGCUAAAACUCAAAGGAAUUGACGGGGGCUCACACAAGCGGUGGAGCAUGUGGCUUAAUUCGAAGCAACGCGAAGAACCUUAUCCUGGGCUUGACAUGCACGGAUUAACUCGCUGAAAGGCGAGCCACACCUUCGGGUGGAACGUGCACAGGUGCUGCAUGGCUGUCGU